rnacentral:rRNA from 1 species
GACGAACGCUGGCGGCGUGCCUAAUACAUGCAAGUCGAGCGAACUUGCGGGAGCUUGCUCCCAAAAGUUAGCGGCGGACGGGUGAGUAACACGUGGGCAACCUGCCUAUAAGACUGGAAUAACUUCGGGAAACCGGAGCUAAUACCGGAUAAUUCUUUUCUACUCAUGUAGGAAAGCUGAAAGACGGUUUCGGCUGUCACUUAUAGAUGGGCCCGCGGCGUAUUAGCUAGUUGGUGAGGUAACGGCUCACCAAGGCGACGAUGCGUAGCCGACCUGAGAGGGUGAUCGGCCACACUGGGACUGAGACACGGCCCAGACUCCUACGGGAGGCAGCAGUAGGGAAUCUUCCGCAAUGGACGAAAGUCUGACGGAGCAACGCCGCGUGAGUGAUGAAGGUUUUCGGAUCGUAAAACUCUGUUGUUAGGGAAGAACAAGUACCAGAGUAACUGCUGGUACCUUGACGGUACCUAACCAGAAAGCCACGGCUAACUACGUGCCAGCAGCCGCCGUAACAC